UGUUCCAAAGGACGAUGAUGAUGAUCAUGAUGACUAAACCAGGCUGAUGAACAGAUAAGCUGACCACCAAUUCCUGAAUGACAAAGAAGCUGCUUGUAGUGUUUAACAAAUUGACUGCGUAAAUGCUUUCCUGCAUUAGAAAUAAUGACGAUCAAUCAAAAGGUGCUUUCUCAGUGGCUUGAUGCAUGAGAGCCAUAAAAAUCAUCGCUUUUUUGCUACCAUGUUUUUAAAUCUUGAUUUAUAAUAAACCGUUCAAUCAA